UACAGAGGGUGCGAGCGUUAAUCGGAAUUACUGGGCGUAAAGCGCGCGUAGGCGGCUUUGCAAGUCGGGUGUGAAAUCCCCAGGCUUAACCUGGGAACUGCAUUCGAGACUGCAUUGCUAGAGUAUGGGAGAGGGAAGUGGAAUUUCCGGUGUAGCGGUGAAAUGCGUAGAUAUAGGAAGGAACACCAGUGGCGAAGGCGACCACCUGGACUGAUACUGACACUGAGGUGCGAAAGCGUGGGGAGCAAACAGG
rnacentral:rRNA from 1 species